ACCAGUUUCAAGCCAGUUCUAUAGCCCCUAUAACUUUUUCAAUUAAGAUAUUAGAAAAAUUAUUUCAUAGCUUUGUCAAAGCUAAGUUAUAGGAUAUACCCUAUAUAUCUUAUAUGGCCCACCCAGUUCAACUAGGCCUACAAGAUGCCACAUCCCCCAUCAUAGAAGAACUAAUUGCCUUCCACGACCACGCCUUUAUAAUCAUUUCCCUAAUUAGCUUUCUAGUCCUAUAUGUUCUAUCAUCAGUACUCACAACAAAAUUAACAGAUCGCAACCUCAAUACUACCUUCUUCGACCCUGCAGGUGGAGGAGACCCUAUCCUAUAUCAACACCUAUUCUGAUUCUUUGGUCACCCUGAGGUCUACAUCCUUAUUCUACCCGGCUUCGGUAUAAUUUCUCACAUUGUCACUUAUUACUCUGGGAAAAAAGAGCCAUUUGGGUAUAUAGGCAUAGUCUGAGCCAUAAUAUCCAUCGGGUUUCUAGGCUUUAUUGUAUGAGCGCACCAUAUAUUUACAGUUGGUAUAGACGUCGAUACACGAGCCUAUUUCACCUCUGCUACUAUAAUUAUUGCCAUCCCAACUGGCGUUAAAGUCUUCAGCUGACUUGCUACUCUUCACGGAGGUAACAUCAAAUGAUCCCCCGCAAUACUCUGAGCCCUAGGUUUUAUUUUCCUUUUUACUGUAGGGGGCCUAACCGGCAUCGUAUUAGCAAACUCAUCCCUAGAUAUCGUACUACAUGAUACAUAUUAUGUCGUAGCCCAUUUCCACUAUGUCUUGUCAAUAGGAGCUGUCUUUGCCAUUAUAGGAGGUUUUAUUCACUGAUUUCCUUUAUUCUCAGGCUACACACUAGACCAAGUCUGCGCCAAAGCCCACUUCAUAAUUAUAUUUGUAGGCGUAAAUUUAACUUUCUUCCCACAACACUUUCUUGGUCUAUCCGGAAUGCCCCGACGCUACUCCGACUAUCCUGACGCCUACACUACAUGAAAUAUCGUAUCAUCGAUAGGCUCCUUUAUAUCCCUGGUAGCAAUAUUAUUAAUAGUUUACAUAAUUUGAGAAGCCUUUGCCUCAAAACGUAAAGUCCUAUUAAUUGAACAACCUACCUCUAAUCUAGAAUGGCUACAUGGUUCCCCUCCACCCUAUCAUACGUUUGAUGAGCCAGCCUUUAUUAAAAUUAAAUAAAAAAGGAAGGAGUUGAACCCUCUGAAACUGG
rnacentral:lncRNA from 1 species